UAGAUAAUAAUAACGUUAAGGAAUAAUAAGUCGACAUCUAAACUAAGUUUUCUAUUAAAUUAAAUAAAUAUUUUAAAAUAACUAUUUUUAAAAAAUUUGAUAAUCCUGCUAAGUCAUCUCAAUGAUUGAUAUAUUCUCUUGAAUUCUUGCUUAACGUUUAGGUCAAGUUGGGGAGGUUAUAACACAUAUAACAACAUUUUAGAUUUAGAUUAUUAAUUAAAAAAUUAUAAUUUAUUAAUAUUACUAGUUAGUGAAAUUUAGAUAGUAUUUUUAAUAAAAUUUACAAAUAUAAUUCUAUUUAUUAAAUAUUUUUUAUUUAAUCAAAUAUGAUUAAUAUAUUUUAUAUAAAAUUUAAAAACAUUUUAUUAGAACUAGUUUUUUUUGUCAUGUCAUAUGCGUUUAUAUUUUUAUUAUUUAAUAAAAUGUUUUUAUCCCAUAUAAUUAAUAUAAAUUAUCAUUGAGUUCAUAUUUGGUACAUUGAUAGUGUACUCUCUUUUUUUUUUUCAUAAGCAACCUUAAAAAAUUGUCACGUAUCUCUUUUUUUAAAAUAGUUAUUUUUUAAAUAUUUUACUAUACUCUUUGUAGAGGCCCAAUUUAGCCCGGGCCCAAAACAAAACCAAAAUAACAGUUUAUGUACAUUGGGCUAAAACGACCCAAUUUUUUAAAACCCUAAGCGGCCCAUUGGGGCCCAAAAAACUAAGCAAACACCAGGGAACCCUAGGGUUCCCUCUCCUCUUGCGCCGCAGCCUCCCCCAUGUGCGCCCUCGGCGUACACGACUCCCGAUGACGACUCCUUCACCGAGGUUGCACCAAAAUGGCAAUGGUUUCUGCCCGAUUGACUCGUCAUGACCUGCAAAAUAAACAAAAACAACGGCCAAUAGACAGAAACAGGGACAACAGAAACAAACAGUAGAAAAGAGAUUGAUUUUCGGCUUUAUAAACUGAAAAAAACAAAGUUUGGGGGGGUCGGUUUUUGAAACGAUCUUUAGAUCUGUUGGGGGUUCUUUUUCUUUUCUUUCUUGUAACAUAUUGACAGAAGUAAAAACAAAAAAAAUCAAAUCAAAGGUGAUUUCCUGGAUUUUCGAUUGUAAUCUUUCCUUUUUUGGUUGUAUUUAUUUUUUUUAUUUUUUAAUUUUGAUUUUUUUAAACGAAAAUAAAAAUAAAAAAGAGGAAAAGGGGAAGAAUAAACUCACCUGAAUCGGCCCCUGAAUCCGGCGUCGUCAUCGGCUCUUUGCCGUCGCCGAACGCGGGUUAAGGAAGGGGUAGAAGCCUUCCGUUUUCUCCUCGUUUCCCCCUUUCAGAGCCUUGGUCUCUGAGUGCGCUCCAAAGCGGUGGUGGGAGGCGUCCUCGUAUGGCUCCGGCCACCGAGCAAUGGAGGCACGACGGCGGCGGGGUUCCUGGUCUGGAACCCUAGCAGAGAAAAGGGAGUCUCCCUUUUAUUAUUAUUAUUUUUCUUAUGUUCUGUGCACAAAAUGAAAUAGCAGAAAAGAAAAAUAAAAUUUUAGCAUUUAUAUCAUUUGUAAAACGGCGCCGUUUGAAG
rnacentral:lncRNA from 1 species